rnacentral:rRNA from 1 species
GUCUCCGGCCAUACUACCUUGGACACACCCAGUCUCAUCUGAUCCCAGAAGCUAAGCAGUGUUAGUCCUGGUUGGAUGGAGAACAUUCUCUAGGAUCCGGAGGGA